CCGCUCCGCCCUCACCUGAGCCUGAGGUUGGCCAUGAACUCGGGCAUGGAGACGGUGUCCAUCAGCACGAAGUCUGCCUUGCCGAAUUCCAGGCUCUCCUGCUCCGCCAUGGCGCCGGCGCGGGGGCUCAGGAUUAUUGCAGAUGUCUUGAGCAUGGGACCAUUCUUUUUGCAUCCACCAAAUAACUAUUGUAUUACCUUGCAUAUAUAAAUAUGAAAUCCAUACUGAUUCAAUGGAAUGAAGUGAGUUAGACAAAUUAUCCCUCUGUCACCCAGGUUGGAGUGCAAUGGUGCAAUCACAGCUCACUGCAACCUCAAACUCUGGGCUCAAGCAAUCCUCCAGCCUCAGCCUCUUGAGCAGCUGGGACUACAGGUGUAUGACACCAUGCCCAGCUAUUUAUUUUAAAUAAAUGACUUUCUAAGGUAUCUACAUUUAUUCAGUCCUGUGUUUCUGUUAGGACAUCUUCUAUUACAAAAUCUACUAGGAAAUCUAGAGGCCUCCAAGGAUCUGGCUGGGCUUCAACUCUGGCUGAGUUUGAGAUGAGUAAACCAGACUGAAGGACCUUGCCCAAGGCCUGCUUCAGCUGCCAGCCACCCACACUUGCUAAGAGAAAGGGAAGUGGAAGUGGCUUUGUCACCUCCUGAGGGACUGCCUCUGCCAUCAGAAAACCACCCCAACCCCAGGCACCAGCAGAGCUGGGCUGCAUCUGACUACCGUUAGCAGCUGUCCUUCAGAAGGAGGAGAUCCACCUGUCUCGACAUCAGUGUCCUCAUUUGUAGAAUAAAAAGCUCUGGAAUAAGUUAGGACUGUCCUAUGGUUGGGUCAUUUGUGGAGGUGUUGGUCAGUGGCUAAGUAGGUUAUUGCAUAGGGUAUGGCUGUAUUCCUAAUGUUUGUAUUGGCAUGUUUUAACAUAAGCAGAACUGAACUUCAAAAAGGAAAGAAAGAAGUCUCAAACUGUGUGCACUUUGGAGCAUCCAGGGACCACACCCCAAAACCUUUUGGUAAAUUAUAUAUGUGUGUUCCCUGAGCCCUGUGGGUGUUAAAAAUUAGGGCAAAAUCCCAGGUACCAGGAAAAGAAACAUCAAGGCUUGCAGAUGAUGAGAGAGUUGCAGAAAUUGUACGGUGGUUAGGAGCUAUGGUGGGAUACAAUGUGGUUUCCAAAUGGCCAAAGUAAGAGAUCCUCAUUUUUUUUUUUUUUUUUUUUUGAGACGGAGUCUUGCUCUGUCCCCCAGGCUGGAGUGCAGUGGCGCAAUCUCGGCUCACUGCAAGCUCUGCCUCCUGGGUUCACGCCAUUCUCCUGCCUCAGCCUCCUGAGUAGCUGGGACUACAGGCGCCCGCCAACACGCCCGGCUAAUUUUUUGUAUUUUUAGUAGAGACGGGGUUUCACCGUGUUAGCCAGGAUGGUCUCGAUCUCCUGACCUCGUGAUCCGCCCGCCUCGGCCUCCCAAAGUGCUGGGAUUACAGGCUUGAGCCACCGCGCCCGGCCCGAGAUCCUCAUUUUAAUCAACAUCUUAUAUAGGAACCCAACAUAUAAAACACAUAUACAACAUAUGCAAAGGGUAUUUUAUUAAUUUCUUGUAUAAGUCCACAUUAGUAUAAAAUUAGGCAUUGAUGCUCUCGUGAUGAACCCAAAUCUGUUCAAUGGGGCUCACUAUUAGCCUCAGGAUUCCAGUUUACUUUUGUAUGUUGUUUUCAUUGUACUGUGUCAAGCAAAUUCUUGUUUGUAUAACUAAGCAGUAAUUUGUUACCCGUACAACUUUACAUUCAGCAUUUCUAGACCAAUGUGCAGUUACAACCUUAUUAAUCAAUGACACACUUGAGCAAAGUUCAGGUAUAUGCACAGCCGGCAGGAGAGACUGAAUACUCAGGUCUGCAUUCAGUCAAGGUAACCUAGAGCAGAUUAGCUCAUUAUGAAUGUUCUUUGUGAUAAAAUUUGAAUAGAAACAUAUUUGGAGAUGCAUGUUUUUGUUACAGUUGAAAAUAUACAAAAAAUAAAACAAAUAAAAGUUUAUAUCCCCAAUCAUGAGACACACAGACACCAUGAGCCUCCUGAUAUGGUCUCCUGAAAAAGACAUGGAUCAUUUACCUGCUAAAAGUACAUAAAUGGAAUCUAAUCAUGAAGAAGCAUCAAACAAACUCACAUUAAGGGGCAUCCUACAAAACAGUUGACCUGUAUUCUUCAAAAAUAUCAAUGGUGUGAAAGACAAAGAGGCUGAGGCACAUCACUAUUAAAGGCAAUAUGUGAUUCCGGACUGGAUCUCCAGCCAGAAAAAUGUAAAGGACAUUAUUGGGAUAAUUGGUGAAAUUCAA